rnacentral:rRNA from 1 species
GGGAAAAGAUUGCAGGCGGUAGAGCACUGAUCAGGAGAGGGACCUACCCGGUUACCAAACCCAGUCAAACUCCGAAUGGCUGCAAUCAUACCUGGGAGUCAGACUGCGACUAAUAAGGGCCGCAGUCAAAAGGGAAACAGCCCAGACCAUCAGCUAAGGUCCCCAAUGCCGUGCUAAGUGGCGAAGGAUGUGGCAUUUCAUAAACAACCAGGAUGUUGGCUCAGAAGCAGCCACCAUUUAAAGAGUGCGUAAUAGCUCACUGGUCGAGAGACGCUGCGCCGAAAAUGUCCGGGGCUCAAGCACGGAACCGAAGCUAUGGCAUGAUAGCAAUAUCAUGGGUAGGGGAGCGUUCUUAUAAGGAAGAAGCAUGACCGGAAGGACAUGUGGACAAAUAAGAAGUGAGAAUGCCGGUAUGAGUAUCGAAAAGAAAGGUGAGAAUCCUUUCCACCGAAAGCCCGAGGGUUCCUGAGCAACGAUCGUCGACUCAGGGUAAGUCGGGACCUAAGCCGAGGCGAGAAGCGUAGGCGAUGGACAACAGGUUGAAAUUCCUGUACCGGAUCAAGUCGAUCGAGCGAAGGAGCGACGCAGGAGGGCACAUGAUCGCGCGGGUGGAAGAGCGCGUCCAAGUGCGUAUGUUGCAGCAGAGGAAAACCCCUGCAGCUAAAAGCAGAGACAUGAUGGGGAGUUAAAGGAAACUUUGACGAACUCAUGGAUCCCACACUGCCAAGAAAAACUUCUAGCGAGACAAGAUCCGCCCGUACCGUAAACCGACACAGGUAGGCGGGGAGAGAAUCCUAAGGUGCGCGGGAAAACCCUCGUUAAGGAACUCGGCAAAUUGCAUCCGUAACCUAGGGAGAAGGAUGGCCCCCGGUCAGUGAAGAGCAGAAACGCUCAGAGCUAAAAGGGGCGGCAGAAAAGAGGCCCAAGCAACUGUUUACCAAAAACACAGGUGCCUGCGAAAGCGAAAGCUGAAGUAUAGGUGCUGACGCCUGCCCGGUGCCGGAAGGUUAAGGAGAGAAGUUAGCGAAAGCGAAGCAUCGAACUGAAGCCCCGGUGAACGGCGGCCGUAACUAUAACGGUCCUAAGGUAGCGAAAUUCCUUGUCGGGUAAGUUCCGACCCGCAUGAAAGGCGUAAUGAUUUGGGCACUGUCUCAACGAGGGGCCCGGUGAAAUUGAAAUACCUGUGAAGAUGCAGGUUACCCGCGACUGGACAGAAAGACCCCAUGGAGCUUCACUGCAGCUUGAGAUUGAAUCCCGGUGACAGAUGCACAGGAUAGGUGGGAGGCGCCGAAGCAUUGCCCUAGGGCGGUGCGGAGCCGAUGUUGGGAUACCACCCUUCUGUUGCUGAGAUUCUAACGCGAGGAGUAACGACCCUGCGGACCCUCUCAGGCAGGCGGUUUGACUGGGGCGGUCGCCUCCGAAA